AUCCCAUCCACACCUGAGAGGAGAGUGAGGCCCAGUAAACGGUGUUGAUGUAAGUAAUUGUUCCCGACUCACUUACACGUGGCGCAGGAAAUGCCAUACCAACAUAGAAUAGAAUAGAAAUGGAAUUUGUUAUUCACGAAAUCACCACUCUCUCAAAUCAAACCUUCCCUCCCCCCUCUUUCUGCUCUUAAACAUUGUCCCUUAUUUUCUCCCUGCCUUCAGUACAUGCAGGAGGCUUUGACUAUACAAUGCAUGUAGGAGGUUUGAAGAAGACCAAGUAACCUGGAAGAAGCUUUGACAUACAUUCAGGUAAAAUGAGAGACAGCACAUUGCUAAACUGUCACCAAAAUAAUGUCAGAGCAGUCGCAGGUGCACCUUCAGUUGAGAAAGAUUUUGCUUCUUCAAUAAAAGCAGCUACUGAAGUUCCUCCAUCGUAUUUUCAGUUCUAUGUCUGGUCAGAUGUGGGAAUUAAUCUUCAUGUUGAUUUAAAUUUGUCCUCAUCAGAUUGGAUUAACAGGUUUAGAAAUGAGGUUUGCAUAAGUGAGAAUAUGCAUCGAAACAAAUCCCGAAGCCUUUGGCAGGAUCUGAGCGGCUUAGGAGAGAAUUAUACACAAGGUAAAUCUUCCUUUUUGUUGAGUACAAAUUCUGGUCAAAUUGAGGAUCAUGGUGGACAAGCCAGAUCUUCCUCAAGCUUGAAACUGAAAAAAGAUGGUGCUACAGAGUUAGGUCAACAGAAUAAAGAUGACAUUCCAUUGAUAUGUGAUUCAUUAACUCCAUGCAGCAUGACUAUAGAAGUGAAAGAUGAUUUACAGGAAAAUCAUUCAACUGUCUCAGCUGAACUGAAUGUAAAUGUGGUAGACAAUUUAAUGCAAGAUCAAUCAACUGUCUCAGCUGAGGUCAGUUGUGCUAAAGGUGCAUCUAAGAAAUUCAUUGAUUCAGAUGCUACCAAUAUGCCAUUCAUCAAGUCACUUUGUGAUUCUGUUGUCAACUCAGUGUCAGAUCCUGGCAUGCUAGAACUUCGAAAUUCAAAACCUGAUAAUGAAUGUUCUGAGGAUUGUGCUCUGCCAAAUGGUUCUUGCUUUGUGAACCCUGGUGUGGUGUGUGCUGGAGCUUCAUUAAGUAGUUCUGUAGGACUACAAAAUUCAGAAGUUAUAAGUUGUCAUAAAUAUGCAUCAGUUUCACUCUAUGAUAAUGAUGGUUCCAUGGAUUUAAGUGAUCCAAAAAGUACUGCAGACAUGGAACAGGGCAGACUAGUCAAAACUCGGAUUAAUUUUGAAACUGACAGUAACAAUUUCACAUCAGUAACUGAUGAAUGGGAGGUGGGCAAGAUUGUUGAUGGAAGGGAGAGUUCAGAAUGCUCCCAAUUUGAUGAUCCAAUGAAGAAAUCUAGCCUAGACUAUAAUAAUCAUGAUUCUAAAAUGGAACUCCGUAAAAAGAGAAAAAACAGAGACUCUGAGAUUCAAGGUUCAAAUGGUAAACCUACUACUACAAGAGUUUUACGAAGCAUGAAGAAUACUACUACAAGAGUUUUACGAAGCAUGAAGAAUACUGCCGUGAAGCCUCCUAGAUGAUCCAUGAGGUUAAUCUCCAAGUGAAUUCAUGAAGUGGUUUGUGUGUUAUUUGGGGUAAAUAGUUCGAGAUUUUUAAAUGGAAUUAUAAUCUACUAUUCCAAAGAGGAAGAAUGACAUUUAGUUGCUUCAUUCUUUUGGAAGAGUUAUACCCACAGUAAUAAAAAAGCUAGGUAAUAUUUCAGAUAGAUUUCAGUUAAACAGUUGAAGAAUGAGCUAUAGUUCUUUCUAUUUUUGGUGCUUAGAAACGAUAAAGUUUAUGUUUGUUUUAAUAUGCAUCCUUUAAGACACUAUUUGUGAUUGUAUAUUUAUAUGGAUCAUAUUAUUUACCAUUAAAUUUGCUUGAUGUGGGCCAAUAUGUGGCAUAAUUUAAUUGG